rnacentral:rRNA from 1 species
UACGUAGGGUGCAAGCGUUGUCCGGAAUUAUUGGGCGUAAAGAGCUCGUAGGCGGUUUGUCGCGUCGGCUGUGAAAACUCGGGGCUCAACCCCGAGCCUGCAGUCGAUACGGGCAGACUAGAGUGCUGUAGGGGAGACUGGAAUUCCUGGUGUAGCGGUGAAAUGCGUAGAUAUCGGGAGGAACACCUGUGGCGAAGGCGGCCCCCUGGUUGGAUACUGACGCUGAUACGCGAAAGCGUGGGGAGCAAACAGG